UACGAAGGGGGCUAGCGUUGCUCGGAAUGACUGGGCGUAAAGGGCGCGUAGGCGGCUUGCACAGUCAGGCGUGAAAUUCCUGGGCUCAACCUGGGGACUGCGCUUGAGACGUGUGGGCUUGAGUGGGGAAGAGGGUCGUGGAAUUCCCAGUGUAGAGGUGAAAUUCGUAGAUAUUGGGAAGAACACCGGGUGGCGAAGGCGGCGACCUGGUCCUUGACUGACGCUGGAGGCGACGGAAAGCGUGGGGAGCAAACAGG
rnacentral:rRNA from 1 species